AACUCGGGCACUCCUGUCAAAGGCACUUUUCCGAAUCGCUCCUGGAGCUCUGGUCUUUGCUAGAGAGAGUAGCUCCCGGCUCGGCUGAGCCUAGCCGCUCACGUGCCUUUGGUGUGGCCGAGGACGAAUUAAGAGGUUCUCAGCGAAGGCUAAGGAACGCAUUCUGGAGUACAGAGCGGGCAAAGAUGGGAAUGGGGAAUGACCAGGGACUUACGCCUCAGUAAGCGGCAAGGGGGGUAGGAAAUCUCAGCUAUCCUAGUGGGUGUGAAGUGAUAUCCCAUUGAUCAGAGGCAGCCAUACCGGCUAAGGCAUUUCUCUACACCAGUCAUCCUAACAACUGCCAGGUAGGUGACAGAAGCCAUCCUAGAUCAUCCAACCUCAGCCAAGCUGGACUAGACCAGGAGAACCAUCAAUCUGUUUACAAAAUCAUGAGAAGUCAUGAAGAGUUGUUGUUUUAAGCCAGUAAGUUUUGGUGUAGUUUGCUAUGCCUCAAACUUUUAACUGAUACAAUACAAUGUAUAAUUGUCCAUACAUUCCCUCUGUAACCUGGCAUUCCCUGACCAAGAAAAAGACUGAGGAAGCUCAGAUCCUUGCCACAUUGGAGAGAAGUAUGGACUGGGAUCCUCAUGUUAAGGGAGGGCUGGAUUGACUGAUGCCCCAUGGAGCUUCUGAACCCACUCAUUACUCCUCACACACCAGUUCCUCUGGGACUGAGGACUUGCACUUGCUUCUAAAGCUGGAGAAGAUAGGCAAGUCCGAAAGUUUCUCUGGGAAAAUCAUUCCAUAAGUGACUGCCAAUUCCAAUGGUGUAAACAUUCCCACCAUGGCCAACGUCUACCUACCCAUGUGACGUCACCGAAUGCGGAGCUGGAAGGAGACAGGUAGCAGCGUAUCAAGAC